ACCACCUCUCUUAUUUGUUAAGCCUAUCCUGUAUAUCCUAUCUAUUUCUUCUUGGCCGAUUAUUACCCACCAUUAUAACCUGAAGCUGUAGUCCCACUUGUCGGGUUCGGGCAUGCUAAGUAAUUAAGGCAUAAUUCUACAGAUAUCUUCGUGGGUGUUUGGGAAUAUAACUUAUGGGCUUAAAAGCGUAGAAGCUCAAUUCCACUUUUUAUACGUCCAUUUGGCAAAUGUUAUGAAGCGCUUAAUUAAACGAAUAGAAGCUCGGAAAAAAAAGCUACGUAACGUAGCUUCUUUUUAGACUCAACUUCUGCUUCUUUUUAAUAGAAAACGAGCUAGCAGAUCUCUUUUUCAACGGUGACAACAGCGCUAUUCCCCCAUAUCUCUUCUUCUCGUAGCUGCUUUUUAAUUAACAAAAUCACUGGUGAUGUCGGGAUCGUUUAAGUGGACGGAAGAAAUUCACACACUCUUUGUUGAGCUAUGCGCCAGUGAGGUAGUUAAGGAGAAUCGGGUUGGGACUACGCUAAACAAGGAAAGCGGGACCAAUGUUCAGCAAGGACUCCCACACACAAAUGAAUGUGUUGUUUGUUCAUAAACAAAUGAAGAAUCACUAGGAGAAAAUGAAAGGGGAUUUUCUGAUUUUCAAGAAAUUGAAAUUUGGUGAAAGUGGCCUUGGAUGGAUUGAGAUGAAGAAGACAAUUGAAGCACCUUAAUCAUGGUGGACGCAUGCUAUACAAGUUUUUAAUUGAUCUAUAAACUUCGUAAUUGGUAUCCCAUUGAUUGUUUUUAUUUUGAAAUUCUAUAUGUCGCUGGUAUAGUUAAUCAAUUGGGGCGUGAGAGUAUAGGGUCUGUUACUUGCAUAUUUGGACUUAAGGCUACAAACGAUUACUUGAUGAUGAUGAUUUUUAGUAUAAAUGAAAGUUAAUUUUGUGUGUU